GACGAACGCUGGCGGCGUGCUUAACACAUGCAAGUCGAACGGAAAGGCCCUGCUUUUGUGGGGUGCUCGAGUGGCGAACGGGUGAGUAACACGUGAGUAACCUGCCCUUGACUUUGGGAUAACUUCAGGAAACUGGGGCUAAUACCGGAUAGGAGCUCCUGCUGCAUGGUGGGGGUUGGAAAGUUUCGGCGGUUGGGGAUGGACUCGCGGCUUAUCAGCUUGUUGGUGGGGUAGUGGCUUACCAAGGCUUUGACGGGUAGCCGGCCUGAGAGGGUGGCCGGCCACAUUGGGACUGCGAUACGGCCCAGACUCCUACGGGAGGCAGCAGUGGGGAAUAUUGCACAAUGGGAGGAAGCCUGAUGCAGCAACGCCGCGUGCGGGAUGACGGCCUUCGGGUUGUAAACCGCUUUCGCCUGUGACGAAGCGUGAGUGACGGUAAUGGGUAAAGAAGCACCGGCUAACUACGUG
rnacentral:rRNA from 1 species